AGUGAACGCUGGCGGUAGGCCUAACACAUGCAAGUCGAACGGCAGCACAGUAAGAGCUUGCUCUUACGGGUGGCGAGUGGCGGACGGGUGAGGAAUACAUCGGAAUCUACUUUUUCGUGGGGGAUAACGUAGGGAAACUUACGCUAAUACCGCAUACGACCUACGGGUGAAAGCAGGGGAUCUUCGGACCUUUCGCGAUUGAAUGAGCCGAUGUCGGAUUAGCUGGUUGGCUGGGUAAAGGCCCACCAAGGCGACGAUCCGUAGCUGGUCUGAGAGGAUGAUCAGCCACACUGGAACUGAGACACGGUCCAGACUCCUACGGGAGGCAGCAGUGGGGAAUAUUGGACAAUGGGCGAAAGCCUGAUCCAGCAAUACCGCGUGGGUGAAGAAGGCCUUCGGAUUGUAAAGCCCUUUUGUUGGGAAAGAAAAGAAGCAGGUUAAUACCCCGCUGUUCUGACGGUACCCAAAGAAUAAGCACCGGCUAACUUCGUG
rnacentral:rRNA from 1 species